GGUUGGCCGGGAGAAUAGGGAAGCAGGUGCAAGACCUGCGCGGGACCGCCGCCGUAAUGGCCGAGCCUGAACCCAACCCCAUGUCACUGCACGAUGGUGCGGGAAGACGCGGGUCCGGGCCGUGACGCCAGAGCCGGAAGACCUGCCUUGGAAUUC
rnacentral:ncRNA from 1 species